AGCUACGCGAAUGUCUCCGGUGCUGUGUUUUGUGAUAAUUUCGACGACUCUGGCUAUUCUUUUGGACUUUUGUGACGUCUAUACCCGACCGACCUUUGCACUACCCCUGGACCCUUGCUUGCCAUUACGAUUUACCCCUGCCUGUACUCCGGACCUUGAAACAAUCAUGGGAAAAGACUAUGGAUCAUGGUCAACUGUACGCCUGAAGGACGAGCUGCGAAAACGCAAAGCAAAACUUUCUGGAAAGAAAGCAGUGCUUGUCCAGAGACUUGAAGAUUACGAUAAGCUGUUUGGACCAGUUGUAACCGACUCGGAAGUCGUAUUCAAAAUAAAAGU